rnacentral:lncRNA from 1 species
ACCCUACUCCACUUAGCAUUCCACCCCACAUUCCCUAGAAUAUAUAUAUAUAUAUAUAUAUAUAUAUAUAUAUAUAGAGUCCGACUGGGAUGCUAUCGAUAGUACGAAGCAUUUGGUACUAUCAAGUUUUCUGCCGUUUGAUUUACCUCUUUUAUUAUUUUCAUCCGUUCGAUUAUACUAUUCAACUAACCAACCACUAAACCCUAGGGGGUCCACAUCAUCCUAACCGCACAUCUUUUAAUUCAAGGGUAGAAAACUUAAUAGCACCAAGUCAUUGGUGCUAUUAAUAGUAUUCCAGCCUAAUUCUAUAUGAUUAAAGCUACCAAUGAAUGGUCCUGUAUACUCCAUAUAUAAUAACAAUAAUCAUAAA